AGAAUCAACGCUGGCGGCGUGCCUAACACAUGCAAGUCGAACGCGAAAGUCCCGCAAGGGAUUAGUAGAGUGGCAAACGGGUGAGUAACACGUGGGUGACCUGCCUUCGAGUGGGGGAUAACGUCCCGAAAGGGACGCUAAUACCGCAUGACAUCCUGUCUUUGGAAAGACGGAGAUCAAAGCUGGGGAUCGCAAGACCUGGCGCUUGAAGAGGGGCCCGCGCCUGAUUAGCUAGUUGGUAGGGUAACGGCCUACCAAGGCGACGAUCAGUA
rnacentral:rRNA from 1 species